rnacentral:miRNA from 4 species
UGAAGCUGCCAGCAUGAUCUC